rnacentral:rRNA from 1 species
ACCAGGUCUUGACAUCCCGAUGCUAUUUCUAGAGAUAGAAAGUUACUUCGGUACAUCGGUGACAGGUGGUGCAUGAUUGUCGUCAGCUCGUGUCGUGAGAUGUUGGGUUAAGUCCCGCAACGAGCGCAACCCCUAUUGUUAGUUGCCAUCAUUCAGUUGGGCACUCUAGCGAGACUGCCGGUAAUAAACCGGAGGAAGGUGGGAUGACGUCAAAUCAUCAUGCCCCUUAUGACCUGGGCUACACACGUGCUACAAUGGUUGGUACAACGAGUUGCGAGUCGGUGACGGCGAGCUAAUCUCUUAAAGCCAAUCUCAGUUCGGAUUGUAGGCUGCAACUCGCCUACAUGAAGUCGGAAUCGCUAGUAAUCGCGGAUCAGCACGCCGCGGUCGAAUACGUUCCCGGGCCUU